rnacentral:rRNA from 1 species
GAUGAACGCUGGCGGCGUGCCUAAUACAUGCAAGUCGAGCGAACGGACGAGAAGCUUGCUUUUCUGAUGUUAGCGGCGGACGGGUGAGUAACACGUGGAUAACCUACCUAUAAGACUGGGAUAACUUCGGGAAACCGGAGCUAAUACCGGAUAAUAUUUUGAACCGCAUGGUUCAAAAGUGAAAGACGGUCUUGCUGUCACUUAUAGAUGGAUCCGCGCUGCAUUAGCUAGUUGGUAAGGUAACGGCUUACCAAGGCAACGAUGCAUAGCCGACCUGAGAGGGUGAUCGGCCACACUGGAACUGAGACACGGUCCAGACUCCUACGGGAGGCAGCAGUAGGGAAUCUUCCGCAAUGGGCGAAAGCCUGACGGAGCAACGCCGCGUGAGUGAUGAAGGUCUUCGGAUCGUAAAACUCUGUUAUUAGGGAAGAACAUAUGUGUAAGUAACUGUGUACAUCUUGACGGUACCUAAGCAGAAAGCCACGGCUAACUACGU